rnacentral:rRNA from 1 species
GACGAGGGGCCCGAGCGGUAAUCGGAAUCACUGGGCUUAAAGGGUGCGUAGGCGGACAUGUAGGUGUUUUGUGAAAUCCCUCUGCUCAACGGAGGAAUUGCAGGGCAAACCACAUGUCUUGAGGCAGGUAGAGGCCGUCGGAACGAUAGGUGGAGCGGUGAAAUGCGUAGAUAUCUAUCGGAACGCCGAAGGUGAAGACAGACGGCUGGGCCUGUCCUGACGCUGAGGCACGAAAGCGUGGGGAGCAAACGGG